rnacentral:rRNA from 1 species
AGAACGAACGCUGGCGGCAGGCCUCAAACAUGCAAGUCUAGGGGGUGUAGCAAUACAUCACCGGCGGACGGGUGCGUAACGCGUGGGAAUGUACCUAUUGGUUCGGAACAACUGAGGGAAACUUCAGCUAAUACCGGAUGAGCCCGAAAGGGGAAAGAUUUCUCGCCAAUAGAUCAGCCCGCGUCCGAUUAGCUAGUUGGUGGGGUUAAAGCCUACCAAGGCGACGAUCGGUAGCUGUUCUGAGAGGAAGAUCAGCCACACUGGGACUGAGACACGGCCCAGACUCCUACGGGAGGCAGCAGUUGGGAAUCUUGCGCAAUGGGCGAAAGCCUGACGCAGCGACGCCGCGUGGGGGAUGAAGGCCUCGGGUUGUAAGCCCUUUCAGCAGGGACGAAGCGAAAGUGACGGUACCUGCAGAAGAAGCGCCGGCUAACUUCAUGCCAGCAGCCGC